rnacentral:rRNA from 1 species
GGCGUGCUUAACACAUGCAAGUCGAACGGGAAUUACUUUAUUGAAACUUCGGUCGAUUUAAUUUAAUUCUAGUGGCGGACGGGUGAGUAACGCGUGGGUAACCUGCCUUAUACAGGGGGAUAACAGUCAGAAAUGGCUGCUAAUACCGCAUAAGCGCACAGAGCUGCAUGGCUCGGUGUGAAAAACUCCGGUGGUAUAAGAUGGACCCGCGUUGUAUUAGCUAGUUGGUGAGGUAAAGGCUCACCAAGGCGAUGAUACAUAGCCGACCUGAGAGGGUGAUCGGCCACAUUGGGACUGAGACACGGCCCAAACUCCUACGGGAGGCAGCAGUAGGGAAUCUUCGGCAAUGGACGAAAGUCUGACCGAGCAACGCCGCGUGAGUGAAGAAGGUUUUCGGAUCGUAAAACUCUGUUGGUAGAGAAGAACGUUGGUGAGAGUGGAAAGCUCAUCAAGUGACGGUAACUACCCAGAAAGGGACGGCUAACUACGUGCCAGCAGCCGCGGUAAUACGUAGGUCCCGAGCGUUGUCCGGAUUUAUUGGGCGUAAAGCGAGCGCAGGUGGUUUAUUAAGUCUGGUGUAAAAGGCAGUGGCUCAACCAUUGUAUGCAUUGGAAACUGGUAGACUUGAGUGCAGGAGAGGAGAGUGGAAUUCCAUGUGUAGCGGUGAAAUGCGUAGAUAUAUGGAGGAACACCGGUGGCGAAAGCGGCUCUCUGGCCUGUAACUGACACUGAGGCUCGAAAGCGUGGGGAGCAAACAGGAUUAGAUACCCUGGUAGUCCACGCCGUAAACGAUGAGUGCUAGAUGUAGGGAGCUAUAAGUUCUCUGUAUCGCAGCUAACGCAAUAAGCACUUCCGCCUGGGGAGUACGACCGCAAGGUUGAAACUCAAAGGAAUUGACGGGGGCCCGCACAAGCAGUGGAGUAUGUGGUUUAAUUCGACGCAACGCGAAGAACCUUACCAAGUCUUGACAUCCCUUGACAGGCAUAGAAAUAUGUUUUCUCUUCGGAGCAAGGAGACAGGUGGUGCAUGGUUGUCGUCAGCUCGUGUCGUGAGAUGUUGGGUUAAGUCCCGCAACGAGCGCAACCCUUAUGGUCAGUUACUACGCAAGAGGACUCUGGCCAGACUGCCGUUGACAAAACGGAGGAAGGUGGGGAUGACGUCAAAUCAUCAUGCCCUUUAUGACUUGGGCUACACACGUACUACAAUGGCGUUAAACAAAGAGAAGCAAGACCGCGAGGUGGAGCAAAACUCAGAAACAACGUCCCAGUUCGGACUGCAGGCUGCAACUCGCCUGCACGAAGUCGGAAUUGCUAGUAAUCGUGGAUCAGCAUGCCACGGUGAAUACGUUCCCGGGC